CGAGUGGACCCACAGAAGGGGAUCAAGAAAGGUGAAAUGCAGUCCCUCUCUGGAGAACCACGGCGGCCUCAGACUCCUGGAGCUGGGAGAGAGCUUGUGACUGUGCCUUGAAUAAAGCUGAAGGUGACCUUAAGGCAAAACAUGGGACUGCCCUGAACAGCGUAACCUGACGCCCCAUAAAUGCUUAAAGUGACAGUAGUUUCAAUGGAGUGGUGCCAAGAGAAAUAAAAAUUCAACUCUACAGUCAGCUAUGGCCGCACACGCCUCUCAUCCCAGCACUUGAGAGGCAGAAGGAGGUGACUCUCUGAGCUUUGGAAAGCCUGCCCUACAGAGUGAGUUCCAGUCAAGGCUACAUAGCAGCACCAUGUCUUAAUAAGCAAAUAAAAUACUUACUAUAUGUGUUUGAUCUAAUGGGA
rnacentral:lncRNA from 1 species